UUUUUUAACUCCCCGCGAAAGGGCUUGCUUACUCUCCACAAAGCUGUCCCUGUAUCUGCUUCCGCAAUGGCAACCGGCCGUUGGAUCCUUUCCGUCGACGCAAUAAACGGCACCGGUUGCAUCGACGACUGCUACGCCUCCUUCCAUCGUCCACCACAACCGUCCUCCUCCUCCAGCCACCGUCUCUUCGCUAACGUCUUCAUCGCCGCCGUCUGCACGGCCGCCGCAGCGUUCUUCCUCGUCCUCACUUACUACACCGUUCUCGUUAGCCGCCGCCGGGUCGACCGUGUUGCCUCCGGCGACGACCUCCCCUUAGAGGCUGACGGUUCCGAGGCAGAUUACCACGUGUGGCGCAUUCGCACCGUCGGACUCGAUGAGUCUACCAUCAUCUCCAUUCCCACGAAGCCGUACAUCACCGGUGGAGGCGGCGGCACGGCCGACUGCUCCGUGUGUCUUGGCGAGUUUCAUGACGGCGACCUCGUUCGUCUCCUACCCGCCUGCGACCACUCUUUCCACGUCUCCUGUAUCGACACGUGGCUUCGGGCCCACAUUAACUGCCCUCUUUGCCGGGCUCACGUCAUCGUCCCCGCCGAUUCCGGUGGUGGUGGUUCGGCCACUAUGCAUCCAGACGGGAAUCCCCUUAUAACUGACCGAAGGGUUUCGGGGGACUUGGAAGAUGAUAGUGAAGGAGAAAUCAGAGUUGAAACUGUCACUGAUUCCACUAUGGACUGCCCCGAGAACUCUAUCCUUCGGGCUUUAACUAAUGUGCCUGGAAAUAAGUUGCAGCUGGUGUUGCGGUCAAACUCCAUUGAUUCGUUGACGCGACGUGAUCUAUUAAUCAGUCUAGAUAGAGAAUUGAACUGCUUGGAGGAGAGGAAGGAGCAGGAACAUUAUUUUUCCGAUGAAGAUGGUGGUAAUGAGAAGAAGGGUAAACAGGGUAGCAGUUCCAUAGGGGAUUGCCAGCAAAAGUGUUCAUCUGAAAUUGGAGGAGGAUCUACGUCUGGGAGUGGGAGAAUGUUCUUCUUAUCGAUAUAUGGGCGGGCUCGUAGCAGCUCGGUUCUUCCACUGUGAUAGAGGAUUGGUGUAUUGAUGAUGAUGCAUAUAAGGCUGCAAGGAUCUAUGUACUUCUAAAUUGCAAUGAAAUAAACCAUUAUAAGAGCUGGCUCUUGAUUGGAUUUUUUUAGAGCGGGAUGCAUCAGGCACAAAAAAUGAUUGCCCUUUUCCUACUUGUACUGAUAGAUAGUUCUCCCAAAAGGGCUUAAUCUUAAACUCCAAAAAUUGGUUAGUCAUUAACCUAAUGGUGUAUUAAAAAACAAUCAAAUUAAACUCUUCAGCUACUGUACGCUAUUUGCAUGAAGCCAGAAUCGCUAGUAAUUGCCGCUCAGCCAUACGGCGAUGAAUUCAUUCCUGGGCCUUGUACACACCGCCCGUCACACUAUGGGAGCUAGCCAUGCCCGAAGUCAUUACCUUAACCACAAGGAGGGGGAUGCCGAAGGCAGGGCUAGUGACUGGAGUGAAGUCGUAACAAGGUAGUCGUAAUGGAAGGUGCGACUGGAUCACCUCCUUUUCAAGGAGAGCUAAUGCUUAUGCUUGUUGGGUAUUUUGGUUUGACACUACUUGACACCCAAAAAGAAGCGAACUACGUCUCAACUAAGCUUGGACAUGAAAGUCUUCUUUCGUUUUUAGACUGUGACAUCAAUUGUUUUACACUGUACACCUCAUUGUAUAUAAAUGUUGUUUAACCUGAUGUUAUACGCUAUACAUCUGCUAUUGUAUGCAAUAGCUAUUUAAUCUGCAACGCACACUAAACUUCUGUAUGUAUUAAAUAAACCUGGUGUUAUACAACAUAUAUUCAUCUGCUGCGGUACAUUAUACCGA